GGCCUUGACAUACUAAGAACUUUCCAGAGAUGGAUUGGUGCCUUCGGGAACUUAGAUACAGGUGCUGCAUGGCUGUCGUCAGCUCGUAUCGUGAGAUGUUGGGUUAAGUCCCGCAACGAGCGCAACCCUUUUCCUAUUUGCCAGCGGGUCAUGCCGGGAACUUUAAGGAUACUGCCAGUGACAAACUGGAGGAAGGCGGGGACGACGUCAAGUCAUCAUGGCCCUUACGGCCAGGGCUACACACGUGCUACAAUGGUCGGUACAAAGGGUUGCUACCUCGCGAGAGGAUGCUAAUCUCAAAAAGCCGAUCGUAGUCCGGAUCGCAGUCUGCAACUCGACUGCGUGAAGUCGGAAUCGCUAGUAAUCGCGGAUCAGAAUGCCGCGGUGAAUACGUUCCCGGGCCUUGUACACACCGCCCGUCACACCAUGGGAGUUUGUUGCACCAGAAGUAGGUAGUCUAACCGCAAGGAGGACGCUUACCACGGUGUGGCCGAUGACUGGGGUGAAGUCGUAACAAGGUAGGCGUAGAUGA
rnacentral:rRNA from 1 species